rnacentral:lncRNA from 1 species
AAAAUUAAAAAAAAAAAAAAAAACUUUUGACGAUACAAACAUGAUAUUUUUGACAAAUUUAUAAAUAAAGAUUUAUUACAAUAAUAGUCGUUGAAUUUGUUUAUAUAAAUAUAAAAAAAAUCANAUAGUCGUUAAAUUUGUUUAUAUAUAUAUGAAAAAAAAUCAUAAUAUAUUCUUAUAUUUUUUUGCCAAAUUUUGUAAAACAUUAUUUAAUACAAUAUCGUCAAUUUCUCGAGAAAAUAUUUAUGGUACGUUUUUAAUGGAUUUAAUUGAAAAAAUCGAAGUUUAUUUCCAUCAAUUUAUGUAUCAAAUUCUUUGAUCACUAAUUAUAAUGGUUAAUUAUAAUUUUGCAACCAAAGUUGUUGGUUUUUAUCAAAUAUAUAUGCUAAUUCAUACCAUUUUUAAUUUUAUUUUUAUACAAUAAUACAUAAAAGUUGAUCUAGAUUCGUUAAUUAUUUAUAACAAAAUCAUAAAAAUAUUAAAAAAUCACUUUGAAGUUUAAAAAAAUAAGUUUAUUUAGAUUUCAGUUUAUUUUAGUAGCCCGCAAAUGUUAAAAAAACAAACAAUCUUCUUUUUUCAGACUGCAGACGUUUGGUCCACCUCUUCUACUGCAGAGGUCUACAGAUGUGGUCCGCAGACUGCAGACAUUUUGCCUCAGAAAAAACAAACAGCACCUAAAUGAUCAAACAUAAUAUACACAUUAAAAAAACGUUUGGUAAUAUAAAUAGCACACUUAUCCCUAUUCUAAUAAAAUAAUAGUUUUAUUCUUCUUUUGACAUGUGUCAUUCUAUUUGGCCUUCUAAUUAAUGCAUAUUUUAUUUUAUUUUUGUCAUGUGUCACUUUAUUAUAUCUCCUAAUUAAUGUAUGUCACUUGUCAACUCCAUUUCAAAUUUCAAAUUUUAAAAUUUCCACUUUAAUUACAUUAAAUUAAUAAUAUUAGAAUGAAAAUUAAAAUAAAAAUCAUACAAAUGAUAUAAUUUCACAUAUUUAUUUAAAUUAAUUAUUAAAAUUUAUAUAACUAAAAAAAACUCUAAGUUAAUAAUUUAUUUAAAAUAAUUAAUUAAUAAUUUUGAGUUUUUACUAUAAAAAUUUAAUUAAUUUUGUAACCGUAGUUCUCACGGAUUAUAAACUAGUUAUUUAUAUUUAUAUAUAUAUAAUUAAUUUCAAACAUUCUUAUGAAUAGUACUUAACCGAAGUACUCUUCGUAGGUUACUUUAACACAACCAAGGUUUCUUUAAUGGGUCCAUCGAUCCACCGCCUCUAUCAUCGGCUUCUAAACCUCACACUCUUAACACUUCUCGAUGUCUCCUCCAUCUUCUCCACCGAUCACCUUCUCCAAUCGAGAUUCUCCACCGCCUUCAUCUGCUGAGCUUCUUUAAUCACAUACAAAGAUUAUCCACCGCCUUAUCCUCCAUCGACUCCACCUCUGGUCACCUCCUCUUCUCCUAAUCAAAUAGCACCGAUCGGAACUGUGUCUGCAACGUCUUCGUCGGUUUCCACAUGUGAAAAAAUAAUCGCUCACCACAAACCGAAUCUCGACCUCAAGUCGAAGCUCAAGAUUAGGGCUUUAUUUUGCUAGAUUACAAUUUUUUGGAUUUCCCGUGGAAUGGAAAUGGAUUCUUAGCGAGACUGGGAGUAAGAGAGACGGGUUGUUGGACAAUCAUAGGUUUUCCAAAAUCCAGGUAAUUGAUUCAUUCAAUCGUCGAUUUUAUGUUUGCCACGUUCUCUCCAUCGCUUCUGUUACCUGUCUUCUACUUCCGCUUCUGGCUUUCUGUCUUCACACCACCUAUGUUUUGUUUGAUUUGCCCCAAAUCUCUUGUCAUCCGAUAUUUUUUAUCUUCGAUUCUCAAGAGGCUAAUGAGGUUCUGCUUUCAUCGGUCGGUCAUUUGUUUAAGUUUGCUUUGAUAAGGUUUCUUACAAUUGUCGAUUUCAAUUCUUCUCUAUAUCCUCAUGAUUUCGUUUUGUUCUUGCUACUAGCUCUGCUGGUUUUUUUUCUUAUUAUUUGUACUUUGUGAAGCAUAUGAAAAUAUUGUUAAGUGGGCAUUUGUAUUAGUUUUCUAUCUUUUCUUCAUCUGCUUUCAAUAAUUGUGGAAAGCAUUUUAGUUUUAAUCAAUUAUCUGUUUGAGAUGUGUUCAUUGCCUUCUACUUCUAUCUUUCGAGCAUCAGAUUUUGCGUGUUUAUAUGUAUAAGAUAUAAGAUGCGUUGUUAAGUAUGUUGUCAAGUGAUAACUAUUUUACAGAUGUCGAUGUGGCGAAUGGGGGAGUUUCUUUGGACUUGAAAAGUUACUGUCAACAAACCUUCCAGAGGCAACAACCAACAAGAAAUGAGUAAGGUCAUAAAUACCCUUUUAUCAUUGUAGGGAAACAUCUCUGCACCCUUUACAUUAAAUGAAAAAUACUUAAUACAUAUAAUUUACCUUUCAGGUAAAAGGAUAGAUUUAGUGUGAAUGGUACAUGAAAACUCAGAAAUUUUAUGUCUUAGAAUUGGUAUUUACUUUCAAUGAAAUUAAUCGAGUUGUAGCAAAAAAGGUAAUGUAUUUUAAUAGAUCAUGUAAAUUCUGUUUUAUUAGUCAUUAACAAAGUAUUAUUGAUUCUAUACAACUUGUAAGGAUACAAAAGACACGAAUUUGUUGGUGGCAUGUGUUGGAUUCUUUGUUGGUCUUUAUCGUAAAACAUGCUCAAUUGGAUUUUAUAAUUCUAUUAUGAUGUUUUUUUGUUUUUUUUUUUUGUUUUUUUUUGUUUUUUUUUGUUUUUUUUUGUUUUUUUUUUGUGAAAGGAGGUGUGGUUAUGUUUAGCAGAUCGCUUUCUACCUACAAGCUGAAGGGUAUUUGGGUCAAUGUGUUUUGCCCUGAGGUGAACCUGAGUCAUUAUAUCAGUUAUUUUUACAUUAAAGAAAACAAUAUUUUUUAUACUACAUAAGUUAUUUAAUGAUGUUAGUAACAUAUUGCAGUUUAUUCAAAGUGAUAUGGCUGAAAAAGUGAGUUAGUUUAUUGAAAACAUAGGAGGCUAUGUUUCCAUGGAUACAUUGAUUCAAGGUAUCCUCUUUUACUUCAUUAUAGGAUAGAAAAAAAAGACAUUUUUAAAACGCUAAAUGCAAAAACAGCCAAGACUGCCAAACAGAGUAUGUAUUGACCAAAGAGAAGGUUGACCUUUUGAAAUUGGAGUUUAAAAGAGAUGAGUUGCCGGUAAGUUUGUAUCUUGUAGCUUUUUUAUUUUGAAUCCACAUACAUUUAUUUGCUUAAAGAUUAUUUCCAUUUCUAUUCUCUUUUUUAAUAAGAAAAUAAUUAUUUUUGUUGAACACUGUUAGUCUUAUACUACAUUUUUCUUUUUAACUAAAUAUCAAAAUUUUGAUAUUCUUAUGAAUUAAAAUAUUAUUACAUCUUUCUUCAGUUACUGAGGAGAGGGAUCGAUUGAAAACUGUUGUUCAUCAGUUAUAAUUGAAUCUCAUUCUAUUUGGGAUUGAUUUUUCUUUUAUCAUAUUAGAUCUCCUAAUUAAUGUCAUCUCAUUUGUCAACCUAUUGGCUCAUCAUUUCAAAUUUUAAAUUUAAAAUUUUUUACUCUAAUUACAUUAAAUUGAUAACAUUACAAUAAAAAUUAGAGUAAAUUACACAAAUGGUCCCUAUGGUUUAGGGUAUUUUGCGAGCUUGGUCCCUAACUUAUUUGUUUAACUCGGAAGAUCCUUGGUAUUUGUUUUUGUUACGUGUUUAGACCCUACUGUUUGUUUUUGUUAUGCGUUUGAUCAAUGUGUUACCAAAAAAGACUAUUAUUUAAAUAGGAAAAAAUGUUGGGUAGGUAAGGUAAGGUGAGGAAAAAAUGUUGGGGUUGUGGGUGUGUUUAUUUAAAUAAACUAAAAAAUCAAUGGCAAAAUAGAUUUUUUAGGUAAGACAGGGACCAAGCGUAUAACAAAAACAAACAGUAGGGAUCUUCCGAGUUAAAAAAAUAAGUUAGGGAUCAAACGCGAUAUUACCCUAAACCAUACAUUCGUGUAAUUUACUUUAAAAUUAAAAUAAAAUCAAUAAAUAUUAUAAGGUGAUAUAAUUUCAUGUAUUUAUUUAGAUCAACGAUUAUAAUUUUAUAUAACUAAAAAAAUAUCUCUUAGUUAAUAAUUUAUUAAUAAUGAACUUUGUUUCUUGAGAACAUUUGAGAUGAUGAUGAGUUCAUUUAAACUCUUUUGUUAUUUAUUGAUGUCUUGGACGGUAAGAUAACUAGAAGGGAUAGGUAGGCAUUUGAAUUAGACAAUGACCAGAAGUCGUGAUUGGAGCGUUGGAAGUAGUUCAUAACCUCCGAUAGACUUUUCUCAUGAGUUUUUAUCCAUAUUAGUGUUAUACAUAAAACUAUUUUCCAUUCUAGUAUACAUUCAAAACUAUUUACCUUAUUAGUAUUAUUUUGAAUUUAAAACUAUUAUUAUUGUUUUUUAUUAUUAAAAAAUAUAUAAUAAAAAAAAAUAACGCUCCCUAUAUGCUCUGGAACAGAACAACGUACAAAAAAAAAAAAAAACGAAAACAGUUAGGGCUUCAAUCGUCUUCUUCAGCCAACGGCUUCAUCCGCCAUAGCCAGCCGUCUGUGUCUUCUUCCUCCUACACUGGCCACCUACCUGCAACCUCUUCUGCCCGUCGCCGCCCUCCUACCGCCUCCAUAAACUCGCCGGUUUCAAGGCAUGCAACCUAUUUUCCUUCUCGUUUUUUGUAGUUUUUUCUGUUUAAUUCAUUGCACUCUCAUUUUUUCUUGAUUUUGAUCCUUCUCCACCGAAUUGAAGAUCAAGUUCUGCAUCUGUUUGAUUUUUUUGUAUAUGUCACAGCUUGUUUUUUGAUGUUUUUAGAUGGAAUUGGUUGCAAUUGUUACUUCUGUUUCUUUUUUCUUGUUGUCAUAUAUAAUAUGAUAAAUUUUUGAUUAGUUGUUGUUUCUUUCUUCUUGUUGUCAUAGAUGAUAUAAUCAAAUUUUGAUCAGUUUUUGUUUCUUUUUUCUUGUU